rnacentral:rRNA from 1 species
GAUGAACGCUGGCGGCGUGCCUAAUACAUGCAAGUCGAGCGAACGGACGAGAAGCUUGCUUUUCUGAUGUUAGCGGCGGACGGGUGAGUAACACGUGGAUAACCUACCUAUAAGACUGGGAUAACUUCGGGAAACCGGAGCUAAUACCGGAUAAUAUUUUGAACCGCAUGGUUCAAAAGUGAAAGACGGUCUUGCUGUCACUUAUAGAUGGAUCCGCGCUGCAUUAGCUAGUUGGUAAGGUAACGGCUUACCAAGGCAACGAUGCAUAGCCGACCUGAGAGGGUGAUCGGCCACACUGGAACUGAGACACGGUCCAGACUCCUACGGGAGGCAGCAGUAGGGAAUCUUCCGCAAUGGGCGAAAGCCUGACGGAGCAACGCCGCGUGAGUGAUGAAGGUCUUCGGAUCGUAAAACUCUGUUAUUAGGGAAGAACAUAUGUGUAAGUAACUGUGCACAUCUUGACGGUACCUAAUCAGAAAGCCACGGCUAACUACGUGCCAGCAGCCGCGGUAAUACGUAGGUGGCAAGCGUUAUCCGGGAUUAUUGGGCGUAAAGCGCGCGUAGGCGGUUUUUUAAGUCUGAUGUGAAAGCCCACGGCUCAACCGUGGAGGGUCAUUGGAAACUGGAAAACUUGAGUGCAGAAGAGGAAAGUGGAAUUCCAUGUGUAGCGGUGAAAUGCGCAGAGAUGUGGAGGAACACCAGUGGCGAAGGCGACUUUCUGGUCUGUAACUGACGCUGAUGUGCGAAAGCGUGGGGAUCAAACAGGAUUAGAUACCCUGGUAGUCCACGCCGUAAACGAUGAGUGCUAAGUGUUAGGGGGUUUCCGCCCCUUAGUGCUGCAGCUAACGCAUUAAGCACUCCGCCUGGGGAGUACGACCGCAAGGUUGAAACUCAAAGGAAUUGACGGGGGCCCGCACAAGCGGUGGAGCAUGUGGUUUAAUUCGAAGCAACGCGAAGAACCUUACCAAAUCUUGACAUCCUUUGACAACUCUAGAGAUAGAGCCUUCCCCUUCGGGGGACAAAGUGACAGGUGGUGCAUGGUUGUCGUCAGCUCGUGUCGUGAGAUGUUGGGUUAAGUCCCGCAACGAGCGCAACCCUUAAGCUUAGUUGCCAUCAUUAAGUUGGGCACUCUAAGUUGACUGCCGGUGACAAACCGGAGGAAGGUGGGGAUGACGUCAAAUCAUCAUGCCCCUUAUGAUUUGGGCUACACACGUGCUACAAUGGACAAUACAAAGGGCAGCGAAACCGCGAGGUCAAGCAAAUCCCAUAAAGUUGUUCUCAGUUCGGAUUGUAGUCUGCAACUCGACUACAUGAAGCUGGAAUCGCUAGUAAUCGUAGAUCAGCAUGCUACGGUGAAUACGUUCCCGGGUCU